GACGAACGCUGGCGGCGUGCUUAGCACAUGCAAGUCGAACGGAAAGGCCCUGCUUUUGUGGGGUGCUCGAGUGGCGAACGGGUGAGUAACACGUGAGUAACCUGCCCUUGACUUUGGGAUAACUUCAGGAAACUGGGGCUAAUACCGGAUAGGAGCUCCUGCUGCAUGGUGGGGGUUGGAAAGUUUCGGCGGUUGGGGAUGGACUCGCGGCUUAUCAGCUUGUUGGUGGGGUAGUGGCUUACCAAGGCUUUGACGGGUAGCCGGCCUGAGAGGGUGACCGGCCACAUUGGGACUGAGAUACGGCCCAGACGCCUACGGGAGGCAGCAGUGGGGAGUAUUGCACAAUGGGCGGAAGCCUGAUGCAGCAGCGCCGCGUGCGGGAUGACGGCCUUCGGGUUGUGAACCGCUUUCGCCUGUGACGAAGCGUGAGUGACGGUAAUGGGUAAAGAAGCACCGGCUAACUACGUG
rnacentral:rRNA from 1 species